AGCGAACGCUGGCGGCAGGCUUAACACAUGCAAGUCGAGCGGACGUAGCAAUACGUCAGCGGCAGACGGGUGAGUAACGCGUGGGAACGUACCUUUUGGUUCGGAACAACCCAGGGAAACUUGGGCUAAUACCGGAUAAGCCCUUACGGGGAAAGAUUUAUCGCCGAAAGAUCGGCCCGCGUCUGAUUAGCUAGUUGGUGAGGUAACGGCUCACCAAGGCGACGAUCAGUAGCUGGUCUGAGAGGAUGAUCAGCCACAUUGGGACUGAGACACGGCCCAAACUCCUACGGGAGGCAGCAGUGGGGAAUAUUGGACAAUGGGCGCAAGCCUGAUCCAGCCAUGCCGCGUGAGUGAUGAAGGCCUUC
rnacentral:rRNA from 1 species